CAUAUUCGCGCAGGUUGACAGCAAUUACAACCAGACGCUUCCAAUUACUGUGAUGAAACUGUGCUGGUAGGAUGUGCGUGUGCUACCAUGACAGUCUGCGCUUCCCCCCCGUUUCUACCACUGAUCUGUUAGUUGGCCUCCAUGACAGAACCCUGGACCUUGUUUAGUGUUCCUGGAUAGGUGUGACUCCAUUUUUACUAUGCGCGCUAGGACUGCGACCACCUGGUGUGCGCCACCCUUAAGCCCGCGUCCAAGGCCAACCCGGUCACCCUCUGUGAAGGUGUUGUGCAGUUUGUGCAGAUGUCCCUCCAAAGAUGACACAUCAAGCUCAGUGUCUCCAUAGAGGUAGUAUUCGAGCAGAGCCUGGUAGAUGAAUGAGUACUGCAUCUGAGGUUUGUCAGCAUGACAACAGUCGCUACUUUCUGCUCCCAUAUCAUCCUCCAGAAAUCUGCUACAGUGUCUUCUUUUGGGCCUGGG